rnacentral:rRNA from 1 species
UACGUAGGGUGCAAGCGUUGUCCGGAAUUAUUGGGCGUAAAGAGCGCGCAGGCGGUCGUUCAAGUCGCGUGUGAAAGCCCCCGGCUCAACUGGGGGAGGGUCACGCGAUACUGAUCGACUCGAAGGCAGGAGAGGGUAGUGGAAUUCCCGGUGUAGUGGUGAAAUGCGUAGAUAUCGGGAGGAACACCAGUGGCGAAGGCGACUACCUGGCCUGUUUCUUGACGCUGAGGCGCGAAAGCUAGGGGAGCAAACGGG